AGCAGCCGCGGUAAUUCCAGCUCCAAUAGCGUAUAUUAAAGUUGUUGCAGUUAAAAAGCUCGUAGUUGAAUUUCGAGAUCAAUUUGUGGGUCGUGCCUCGGUACGUACUGGCAUUAUCGAUUUCUCCCUUCUGAAGAACCGCGAUGUCAUUAAUUUGGUGUCGUGGGGAAUCAGGACUGUUACUUUGAAAAAAUUAGAGUGUUUAAAGCAGGCUUACGCUUGAAUACAUUAGCAUGGAAUAAUGAAAUAGGACGUUUGAUUCUAUUUUGUUGGUUUCUAGGAUCGACGUAAUGAUUAAUAGGGAUAGUUGGGGGCAUUAGUAUUCAAUUGUCAGAGGUGAAAUUCUUGGAUUUAUUGAAGACUAACUACUGCGAAAGCAUUUGCCAAGGAUGUUUUCAUUAAUCAAGAACGAAAGUUAGGGGAUCGAAGACGAUCAGAUACCGUCGUAGUCUUAACCAUAAACUAUGCCGACUAGGGAUCGGAUGAUGUUAAUUAAUGACUCA
rnacentral:rRNA from 1 species